AAUUGAUAAUACUACUUCAUUGAACUUCAGUUGAUAGUUGCCAAAUUAUCAGUCAUACCACAUCUUCUUACUUGUUAUGAUAUUGUAUACAUGGCUUUUAGUUUCGGGUCUUGUCUAAACAUUUAUGAAAUAUUAGUUGCUUGACGUUAAAAACAAACAACUAACAAUCAAUCAAUUUAAACUCGUGUUCAAUAAGGAGAAAAUCAUUUGAUUUGUUGGGUUAAAAGGGGGAGGUGGCAGGAGUAUUUUGAAUAUGAAUAUGGUGGGCUGGUAAAAGCUGGAAAAAAAAGGCAUGCUUAGCGACAAGUUAAAUCUUUAACAUGAAUAAAAAAUUUCGCAAAAGAUCCUCCUGCCGGCCCCAUUUCCAUCCUUAGAAUAACAAAAGGUCGUACCCUUACUGUAAUUGUCCGUGUGUUUUUA
rnacentral:lncRNA from 1 species